rnacentral:rRNA from 1 species
UACGUAGGGUGCAAGCGUUGUCCGGAAUUAUUGGGCGUAAAGAGCUCGUAGGCGGUGUGUCACGUCGGCCGUGAAAACCUGCAGCUUAACUGUGGGCGUGCGGUUGAUACGGGCGGGCUGGAGUUCGGUAGGGGAGACUGGAAUUCCUGGUGUAGCGGUGAAAUGCGCAGAUAUCAGGAGGAACACCGGUGGCGAAGGCGGGUCUCUGGGCCGAUACUGACGCUGAGGAGCGAAAGCGUGGGGAGCGAACAGG